UAGUUAAAUUUUACCAUUUGAAAUAAAUUUUACAUAAUUAAGCAAAAUACUUGAUAAUUUUUGUUCCUAUUUCUAUUUUGCUUUCAUAUAACCUUUCCUAAACAAUCAGGAAAUCUUUUGAUUUUUUUCAAAGUAUUCUUAAAUUUAUUUAAAUUUCUUUCCUGCUCAUUUGAUUUAACUAAUUUUUUUAGAUACUUCAUCCUGGAGACUUGAAGGUUUCAGUAGAAACUUAUUUGAAUAGAUUACUUGAUCCAAUUCGAAAAAAGUUUGAAGAUCCAGCACUUCAAAAGUUAUCUACAACCGCCUACCCACCAGUUAAUAAAAAGGUGUUUGAUAAGACAUCUAUUUCUGCAGAAUCUUUUAUCUUUUUUGAAAGAGAAUUUAUUCCCUUUAUUGAUGACAUUGAAGCUAACUUUGAAUGUGCACUUUGGUUAAGUGAUGCUGAUUACGUGAGUGCUCUACGGAUUGUAUGUAUAACUUUCUUUUUUAAAACUGUUAAUAAUAUAAUUAAAAAUUUUGAAAAAUAGUGAUCAAAGCUCUAUAUCUAAUGUAUCUUUCAGUUCACAAAUUUUUGUGAGAGGGAAUAAUUACCCCCAAAAUAAUUCUUUUCUUAAAGACAAACACUCUGUUUUUAUAGUUACUUUUGCUUAAAUUUCAAUGGAGGACCCAUUAGCUUUUCCAAACUUUCUUCCACCAAAUGUUACUCAAUUAGAAAGUAAUGCAAGAAUUUCAAUACCCAAAGGCUCUAUGAUUGAGACUUUCAAUGUUCUAUGUUCAUUAACGAAAUAAUUUUGCAGAAACUUUCUUGUCAAAUUCUUGUUUCUUAAUCAAUUUGUUUCCUGUUAAAAAAAAAAUUUGCGACUGAAAGUCAUGUGACAUUUAAUUUAUUUGCAGUACUCCACUCCCUAAUUUUAGAAUCACUUGUUUCAGUU